rnacentral:rRNA from 1 species
UACGGGGGGGGGCAAGCGUUGUUCGGAAUUACUGGGCGUAAAGGGCGCGUAGGCGGUUGGAUAAGUCAGCUGUGAAAACCACGGGCUUAACUCGUGGCCUGCAGUUGAGACUGUCUGGCUUGAGUGUGGGAGAGGAGAGUGGAAUUCCUGGUGGUAAGCGGUGAAAUGCGUAGAUAUCAGGAGGAACACCGGGUGGCGAAGGCGGCUCUCUGGACCACAACUGACGCUGAGGCGCGAAAGCUAGGGGAGCAAACAGG